rnacentral:rRNA from 1 species
AUUGAACGCUGGCGGAAUGCUUUACACAUGCAAGUCGAACGGCAGCACGGACUUCGGUCUGGUGGCGAGUGGCGAACGGGUGAGUAAUGUGUCGGAACGUGCCCAGUCGUGGGGGAUAACGUAGUGAAAAUUACGCUAAUACCGCAUACGAUCUAUGGAUGAAAGCGGGGGAUUGCAAGACCUCGCGCGAUUGGAGCGGCCGAUAUCAGAUUAGGUAGUUGGUGGGGUAAAGGCCCACCAAGCCAACGAUCUGUAGCUGGUCUGAGAGGACGACCAGGCACACUGGAACUGAGACACGGUCCAGACUCCUACGGGAGGCAGCAGUGGGGAAUUUUGGACAAUGGGCGAAAGCCUGAUCCAGCCAUUCCGCGUGCAGGAUGAAGGCCCUCGGGUUGUAAACUGCUUUUGUACAGAACGAAAAGGUUUCUACUAAUACUAGGAGCUCAUGACGGUACUGUAAGAAUAAGCACCGGCUAACUACGUGCCAGCAGCCGCCGCGG